AACUACUGGAAACGGUGGCUAAUACCGCAUAACGUCGCAAGACCAAAGAGGGGGACCUUCGGGCCUCUUGCCAUCAGAUGUGCCCAGAUGGGAUUAGCUUGUUGGUGAGGUAACGGCUCACCAAGGCGACGAUCCCUAGCUGGUCUGAGAGGAUGACCAGCCACACUGGAACUGAGACACGGUCCAGACUCCUACGGGAGGCAGCAGUGGGGAAUAUUGCACAAUGGGCGCAAGCCUGAUGCAGCCAUGCCGCGUGUAUGAAGAAGGCCUUCGGGUUGUAAAGUACUUUCAGCGGGGAGGAAGGUGUUGUGGUUAAUAACCGCAGCAAUUGACGUUACCCGCAGAAGAAGCACCGGCUAACUCCGUGCCAGCAGCCGCGGUAAUACGGAGGGUGCAAGCGUUAAUCGGAAUUACUGGGCGUAAAGCGCACGCAGGCGGUCUGUCAAGUCGGAUGUGAAAUCCCCGGGCUCAACCUGGGAACUGCAUUCGAAACUGGCAGGCUUGAGUCUUGUAGAGGGGGGUAGAAUUCCAGGUGUAGCGGUGAAAUGCGUAGAGAUCUGGAGGAAUACCGGUGGCGAAGGCGGCCCCCUGGACAAAGACUGACGCUCAGGUGCGAAAGCGUGGGGAGCAAACAGGAUUAGAUACCCUGGUAGUCCACGCCGUAAACGAUGUCUACUUGGAGGUUGUGCCCUUGAGGCGUGGCUUCCGGAGCUAACGCGUUAAGUAGACCGCCUGGGGAGUACGGCCGCAAGGUUAAAACUCAAAUGAAUUGACGGGGGCCCGCACAAGCGGUGGAGCAUGUGGUUUAAUUCGAUGCAACGCGAAGAACCUUACCUGGUCUUGACAUCCACAGAAGAAUCCAGAGAUGGAUUUGUGCCUUCGGGAACUGUGAGACAGGUGCUGCAUGGCUGUCGUCAGCUCGUGUUGUGAAAUGUUGGGUUAAGUCCCGCAACGAGCGCAACCCUUAUCCUUUGUUGCCAGCGGUUAGGCCGGGAACUCAAAGGAGACUGCCAGUGAUAAACUGGAGGAAGGUGGGGAUGACGUCAAGUCAUCAUGGCCCUUACGACCAGGGCUACACACGUGCUACAAUGGCGCAUACAAAGAGAAGCGACCUCGCGAGAGCAAGCGGACCUCAUAAAGUGCGUCGUAGUCCGGAUUGGAGUCUGCAACUCGACUCCAUGAAGUCGGAAUCGCUAGUAAUCGUGGAUCAGAAUGCCACGGUGAAUACGUUCCCGGGCCUUGUACACACCGCCCGUCACACCAUGGGAGUGGGUUGCAAAAGAAGUAGGUAGCUUAACCUUCGGGAGGGCGCUUACCACUUUGUGAUUCAUGACUGGGGUGAAGUCGUAACAAGGUAACCGUAGGGGAACCUGCGGUUGGAUCACCUCCUUACCUUAAAGAA
rnacentral:rRNA from 1 species